GUUUGACUGUCGCAAAUACAGUUUUUUUUUUUUUUUUUAUUGCUUUUAAAAUAGCACUCUAUUGCUAUGCAACAUGGAUCUAUUUUAAAAGGAUCAAUUUUAAUUUUGUUAAAAAGGUAGAAAAAAGCAACAAGGAAUAUCAGCAUAGCAACAAGGAAUAUCAGCAUAGCAACAAGGAAUAUCAGCAAUUAUCUGUGGUUUUAAUGUGAUCAAGUUUCAUAAAGUUUAUAAUUAUCAUUAAUUUAUAGUGACACUUUUGUAAAGACAUCAGAAAUUAUUUUAAAAACCAAAGAAAUAUGUUUAAUGCCGUCUCGAGUGCUACAAAGCCUUGUGGCAGUUUAUCUGAAUUGCGAUACAAACACUCACCAAAGGUUCAGAGAGCAAAGCCUCAAAUUGUGAAUACUCCAAUACAAAAAAGCGAUCCUACAAAGUUUAAAGAAAGUUUGGAAUUAUUUAACAGGUUUCAUUGUAAAUUUACUGAAGGUUUAUGGCGAGCUGAUAAAGUAUACUUUGAAUGUAAAGGCGAUUUAAGCGUUACACUACGAAUGUGCACAAAAUGUAGAGACUUAGGUAAAGAUAACACUAAGACAGACCAGUAUUAUAUCAAUACUCCAGAAGUAGCACGCGAAAGAACCAUUUUAUGUUAUGCUUGCAUGCACACAAUGAUCAAUGAAUUUCUUGAUAAAAACAAAAUAGCAGAUGUACCAGAAGAACUAAAUCGAUUACAAAAAUUACAAACAAAUGAAAUUUCCAUAAGCUAUCACGGAGAUCAUUCACAUUAAAUAAGUUGAUUACGUGGCAACAAUAAAAAAGUUUAGUAAUACGCAUCAACAAUAACAGUAAAAAGAUGAUAAAAUUAAGUGAACUAUGAUAAAUGUUUUUCUACAAGUUAAUUUUUAAAAAAAAGAAUUAUAGCGAAAAUGUUAUCUCAAAUAAUUUA